rnacentral:rRNA from 1 species
UACGUAGGGUGCAAGCGUUGUCCGGAAUUAUUGGGCGUAAAGAGCUCGUAGGCGGUCUGUCACGUCGGCUGUGAAAACCCGAGGCUCAACCUCGGGCCUGCAGUCGAUACGGGCAAACUAGAGUACUGCAGGGAGACUGGAAUUCCUGGUGUAGCGGUGAAAUGCGCAGAUAUCAGGAGGAACACCGGUGGCGAAGGCGGGUCUCUGGGCAGUAACUGACGCUGGAGGAGCGAAAGCGUGGGGAGCGAACAGG